rnacentral:rRNA from 1 species
UGAACGCUGGCGGUAUGCCUAACACAUGCAAGUCGUACGAGAGUUUUUAACUCUAGUGGCGGACGGGUGAGUAACACGUGAGAAUUUACCUUUAGGAGGGGGAUAACAAUCGGAAACGAAUGCUAAUACCCCAUAUGCUUUCGAGUGAAAUGGAAUUAUCCGCCUAGAGAGAAGCUCGCGGCUGAUUAGCUUGUUGGUAAGGUAAUGGCUUACCAAGGCGACGAUCAGUAUCUGGUUUGAGAGGACGAUCAGACACACUGGAACUGAGACACGGUCCAGACUCCUACGGGAGGCAGCAGUGGGGAAUUUUCCGCAAUGGGCGAAAGCCUGACGGAGCAAUACCGCGUGAGGGAAGACUGCCUAUGGGUUGUAAACCUCUUUUUUCAGGGAGGAAGUAAUUGACGUGUACCUGAAGAAUAAGCAUCGGCUAACUCC